GAUGAACGCUGGCGGCGUGCUUAACACAUGCAAGUCGAACGAAGCACCUUGAUUUGAUUCUUCGGAUGAAGAUCCUGGUGACUGAGUGGCGGACGGGUGAGUAACGCGUGGGUAACCUGCCUCAUACAGGGGGAUAACAGUUAGAAAUGACUGCUAAUACCGCAUAAGACCACAGCACCGCAUGGUGCAGGGGUAAAAACUCCGGUGGUAUGAGAUGGACCCGCGUCUGAUUAGGUAGUUGGUGGGGUAACGGCCUACCAAGCCGACGAUCAGUAGCCGACCUGAGAGGGUGACCGGCCACAUUGGGACUGAGACACGGCCCAGACUCCUACGGGAGGCAGCAGUGGGGAAUAUUGCACAAUGGAGGAAACUCUGAUGCAGCGACGCCGCGUGAAGGAUGAAGUAUUUCGGUAUGUAAACUUCUAUCAGCAGGGAAGAAAAUGACGGUACCUGACUAAGAAG
rnacentral:rRNA from 1 species